AACGUAGGUUCCGAGCGUUAUCCGGAUUUACUGGGCGUAAAGCGUGCGCAGGCGGUUGUGCAAGACCGAUGUGAAAUCCCCGGGCUUAACCUGGGAAUGGCAUUGGUGACUGCACGGCUAGAGUGUGUCAGAGGGGGGUAGAAUUCCACGUGUAGCAGUGAAAUGCGUAGAGAUGUGGAGGAAUACCGAUGGCGAAGGCAGCCCCCUGGGAUAACACUGACGCUCAUGCACGAAAGCGUGGGGAGCAAACAGG
rnacentral:rRNA from 1 species